AAAACCCUGCCUCGCUAGCGCAGGGAGAAGUCGCACCAGUCGGAGCGCAGAGGGACACGCAGACAUUUCAGCAGAGGCCUCAAAGGCAGAACAAAAUAGUGCAAGGAGCCGCACAUCCGCACAGUGCUGAGACCCUGCCCAGGACAAGCUUGGUGAGUGGAAAACUUCCUUUGUCAGCCCUUCGCGCACUUCCAGCCUCAGAUCGAGGCAUCAGGGAGGGUUUCCUUGAAGAGGGUGGGCUGAGGGCUGUGUGUUCCCACCACCCCUGUUGCCCUUCCAUGGGGUGGGGCAGCAAGUGCUUCCCCUCACCUCAAGGAAGUGACAAGGGUUGCACGGAGAGCUCUCCCCACACCUUUCAGUGUUUGGGGAAACGUGAGGACUGGUCUGAGAAGUCAGGGCUGCCGUGGCCAGUGGUGCCCUGCCCCAGAGGGCAGUGGGGUGAAGGUGUGUGGCUCCCAGGGACCAGAUGGGGGCCCUUUUGAAUAGGACUCCACCCAAGUGGGCUGCCUGGAAGGGCAAAGGGACCCAACAGAGAUGUGGGCCACUGGAAAACCAGAGACCCAAGGGCUGCUGAGACCCUGCCCCACAACUACACACAUCCCAACCUCAUAAUGAAAAGUGUAGUUGAGAUAGGGUUGCCAGAUUUUACAAAUAAAUAUACAAGAUACUCGUUUAAAUUUGAAUGUCAGGUAAACAACAUGUAUGUUUUUAGUAUAUGUUAAAUGAAAUAUUUGGGACAUACACUAGAUCUUUUUUUAUUUUUAUCUAUCUAAACUUCAAAUUUAAUUGGACAUUCUGUAUUUUUAUCUGGCAACCCUAAGUUGGGAGCUUUAUAGCAGAAAUUCAAGUGGCUUCUCCAAGAAACCCACAAAAGCACCCCAAAGAAAAGUCAGCCCUAGAAACCCCAAUGGCAGCUCACAACUGAAGCAGUCAAGUAAGAUCAUUUCUGCUCUGUCAUCCUGGUCCCCCACCUCAAUGCCUCAUCAGGAUAGGGAGUGGGAGGUGGAAGAAGGGAGGGGACAGGAGGAGGAGAUGACCAUCUCCAUCACUUCAGGCUUCCGAGCCAGAGACGAGACGCUUUAACUUUAAAUGAAAUUGAACAUUUUGAUUAUUACUUGGAUCAGACACAGACAUACAACUACUCUUCUUGUGACUUAAAGAGACCUAUGAUGUCUGCCUAAGACGGCAUGUCUUAGAUGGGGAAGGAAGCAGGUCCUGGAGCUAGGUGGAAAAGACAGUGGGUGAAAGGAGAGUUGCUUCAAGAGUGUGCUCAGCUGAGUAGCAGUGGUUCCCAAACUGAUGGCUUCUUUGCAGAGCUGUCUUUCUCACUAGCAUCUUAGCAUUUGUUUGUGUCCCCAGUUCAUGGCAUAUAUAGUAGAUGCUCAGUAAAUAUCUGACUGUGUUGUUUUUUUGAGACAGGGUCUCAGGUGCCCAGGCUGGAGUGCAGUGGUGUGAUCAUAGCCCACUGCAGCCUCAAACUCUUGAGGUCAUGUGAUCCCUCCUGCCUCAGCCUCCCAAGUAGCUGGGACUACAGGUGCAUACCACCACACCUGGCUAAUUUUUAUUUUUUUCUUUGUACAGACAAAAAAGAAGAAAAUUGGGUCUUGUUAUGUUGCCCAGGCUGGUCUCCAACUCCUGGCCUCAAGUGAUCCUCCCAGCUUGUCCUUCCAAAGUGUUGGGAUUAUAGGUGUGAGCCACUGUGCCUGGCCAUGUCUGAAUGUUGAAUGUUGACAGCUUCAGUGAAUUGACCCCUCUUUCACCUAUGGGACUUAUGAAGAGAGAAUCUUUCUGGCAUUGCAUAAUCCUUCCCAAGAGUACUUUAGCUGUGGUAACCCUUCUUGUUAUAAAACAUGCCAGGUAUGAUGAUGGAGAUCAGCUGAGCUGGACUUAGAAUCUUCUCUAAGAACAUUUACAGGCACUCAGUGUUAACAGCAGGGCAGAUGUAGGUUUCUGGGAACCUGAGGCUUAUAGGAACUGGAGUUCAUUGUAAGAAAAAGAAUAUCAAAUUAUGAAGACAAAAUUAGGCAUCAAUGUGAAUAUUAAUUUAGGAGAAAUCACAACAAAUCGCACAUCCUGAAAAGCUAACAAAUACUGCAUACAUCGCAGAAUCUAGAAGCAUAACAAUAUUUGUAUUGGUUAACUUGGACAUAUCACUAUAGUAUGCUUUUUUUCUACAUUUUGGGCUAUAUUUUUUUCCUAUUCUUUUUGGUUGAUGUCCUUGUAGUAGUGGCUACAUGUUAGUAGGCACUAACCCUAGUAGUAACUAAUCCUAGUAGUAGGGUUCAUGUUAUUGUUGUCGAUGUCUGUAUUUUGUGAUCAAAUCACCAAGACUGCAAAUCCUUCUUUCAACAUAUUCAUAUGAUUCACUCCCCUUCAUUAAAUUGGGUUAUUCAAACAAUUAUGCUCCAAAUUUAUCUCUUCCUCUUAAUCAAGUACUACUUUGGCAUGAUCUGAUUUUUAUAAUUAUUCUCUCUUCUCAUCUUUAUUAUUUAUAUUUUCUUAGCUAUUAUGAUUCUUCUUCUCAAUUUCAUGCUUUUGUCUAUCAGGCUUUUUAGCUUCUGUUGUGAUAGAACAAAAGAGUUUUUGACAUUUUGUAACUUCUUCCAGUCUUUUAUCUUUCAGUUUUUGUCUGAGACUUCUACUAGGAUGUUUUCUUCUCAACACGCUUGAUUUUUGUAUAGUUAAUAAUUUUGAAAUAAAGGCAUUCUCAAGAGCAGUUCAAAUGCACUUGAAAAUUGCUGAAAUGUAUUGAGUUGCAUAUUGCAUAAUCAAAUUACUUUUUUGCCACAUAGACUGAUCUAUUGGUGAGUAUGUGUAGGGGUUUCAUUACCCUGGAGUCCUUUUUCUUUGCUUUUUUUCCCCUUUCUUUCCAUUUCUGUGGCAAUUUGGUGAACAGUUUCAUCAGGAAGUGUGAGACUUCAUAAGGGCAAGAGGAUCAGAUAGAUACUCUAAGGGUGAUCCGUUCAGUUUGCACAAUAAAUCUGUGGAAGACAUCAUAUGUACAGUGGAAUCUUCUUUCUUUGCAGAGAAAAGUGGACAAGCAUCCAAUUUCCAAAUCAAUUCUUGGGAUAAAUUGGUAUAACUUGUUGGAAAGCAG
rnacentral:lncRNA from 10 species